rnacentral:rRNA from 1 species
GGAUCAGCAGGUUGGUCGUGCCACUGGUAUGUACUGGCCUUGCUGAUUCCUCCCUCUUGAUGAGCCGUAAUGCCAUUAAUUUGGUGUUGCGGGGAAUCAGGACUGUUACUUUGAAAAAAUUAGAGUGUUUAAAGCAGGCAUGCGCUUGAAUACAUUAGCAUGGAAUAAUAGAAUAGGACU